rnacentral:rRNA from 1 species
CCUACGGGAGGCUGCAGUGAGGAAUAUUGGUCAAUGGCCGGAAGGCUGAACCAGCCAUGCCGCGUGAAGGUCAGUGCCCUAUGGGCGUUAAACUUCUUUUGUGCGGGAGCAAUAAUGGUCACGUGUGGCCAGACGAGAGUACCGUACGACUAAGCAUCAGCUAACUCCGUGCCAGCAGCCGCGGUAAUACGGGGGAUGCAAGCGUUAUCCGGAUUUAUGGGGUUUAAAGGAUGCGUAGGCUGUGGGGUAAGUCAGGGUUGAAAUGCCCCGCUCAACGGGGUGAAGUGCCAUUGAUACUGCCUUGCUGGAAUGCGGAUGCCGUGGGAGGAAUGUGUGGUGUAGCGGUGAAAUGCAUAGAUAUCACACAGAACACCGAUUGCGAAGGCAUCUCACGAAUCCGCGAUUGACGCUGAUGCACGAAAGCGUGGGUAUCAAACAGGAUUAGAUACCCUUGUAGUC